UACGUAGGUGGCAAGCGUUGUCCGGAUUUACUGGGUGUAAAGGGCGUGCAGCCGGGAGGACAAGUCAGAUGUGAAAUCCACAGGCUCAACCUGUGGACUGCAUUUGAAACUGUUUUUCUUGAGUACCGGAGAGGUCAUCGGAAUUCCUUGUGUAGCGGUGAAAUGCGUAGAUAUAAGGAAGAACACCAGUGGCGAAGGCGGAUGACUGGACGGCAACUGACGGUGAGGCGCGAAAGCGUGGGGAGCAAACAGG
rnacentral:rRNA from 1 species